rnacentral:rRNA from 1 species
AUUGAACGCUGGCGGCAUGCUUUACACAUGCAAGUCGAACGGCAGCGCGGGCUUCGGCCUGGCGGCGAGUGGCGAACGGGUGAGUAAUGCAUCGGAACGUGCCCAGUAGUGGGGGAUAGCCCGGCGAAAGCCGGAUUAAUACCGCAUACGACCUGAGGGUGAGAGCGGGGGACCGAAAGGCCUCGCGCUAUUGGAGCUGCCGAUGUCGGAUUAGCUAGUUGGUGGGGUAAAGGCUUACCAAGGCGACGAUCCGUAGCUGGUCUGAGAGGACGACCAGCCACACUGGGACUGAGACACGGCCCAGACUCCUACGGGAGGCAGCAGUGGGGAAUUUUGGACAAUGGGGGCAACCCUGAUCCAGCCAUGCCGCGUGCGGGAAGAAGGCCUUCGGGUUGUAAACCGCUUUUGUUCGGGAAGAAAUCCUCUGGGCUAAUACCCCGGGGGGAUGACGGUACCGGAAGAAUAGGCACCGGCUAACUACGUG